rnacentral:lncRNA from 1 species
CUGGAAGUCAAAGUUGUAAACCAGGUCACUUAAACUCCGAAUUUAGCCAGUGACUCUUUCACAUUUGUAAGCAAGAAUAUUGCUAGCCUCCCCACUGAGCCUGCAUGAGGACUGACCUUUCAUGGAUCACAGGAAGGAAGUCUGGUUUCUCAGAGGAGAAGUCAGACUGGUUUUGACAUAAAAGUCUUUGCCAACAAAACUCUGGGCAGACGCAAGCAUAUUCAGUGGCAGGAGAAAGCAGAGUGCAUGCCAAUGGUAGAAAUACAAGGAACUUGAAGAGAAAAAGAGACAGCGACAAGGGGAACACAGGCCAGGGGACCUGAGUCGAAUGCAGAUGCUUAAGGACUGAGCCACCCAGGCACCCUGAUGAUAGUCCUUUUUAAAAGCCUGCCUCUUACAAGGACCCUGAGAUUACAUUGGACUCACAUGGAUCAUCCAGGCCACUGUCCUCAGUUCAAGAUCUUUAACUUCCACACGUUUGCCAAGUCCCUAGUGCCAUGUAAGGUAACAUUCACAAGUACUGAGGAUUGGGACGUGGCCAUCUUUGGUGGAGAGAAAGGUAUGAUUUGGCUUUCCAUAAUGCCACGACUGAGAAUGUGGUCCUAUGAGAAUGCUCGGAGAAGGGUUGAGAACAAUUUUUCUGGAAGACAAAGAAGAGACGAUUCAUUGAUUCCUUUGUCUAUAUUGUUUCCAAAAGUUGGAUCCAAAAGCUUUUUCUCCCCAAUUUGGGAUAAGAGAAGUAGAAAAACCAAUCAAAAGAGAGAAGAUAUGUCACCAACAGCAUAAGAAUGCUUAUGAUUACUGGGAGUAAGUGCAUAAACGCAAGAGAUGGAGUCCUUAUUCUUGUGGAAAUUAAAUUCCUUGUGAAGGAGAGAAAUAAUAAGCAUACAAAAAAUUGGGGUACAUUUUGACAGUGGAACUGACUGAAUUUGGUGGGAAAUUAGACAUGAGGAGUGAGAGGAAGAGAGAGAUCAAGGUGCAAGCCUUAUUUGACACAACUGCGGAGUGGAUGACAUGGCGUUGGGCACUGCAGAGACUGUGACGACGAGGUAGAGACCAAAUUCUCCCUCAGUGAUCAAAGUUUAGUAGAAGAAUAAACUCAGAAGAUCAAAAACAGACGUGGAAGUAGGGUCUUAUUACACACAAGAAGGAACAAAUCAUUGGCCAGUACAGAUUUGUAAAGAUGCUUACUGAAUCAGUGCUCACCAGAGAAGUGGGAAUUAGCUUUAUUACUUUUUUCACAAAACUGGAAAAAUUAGAGGACUGGCAGUAAAAAUUAAUAACAUGGCGAAGCUGCUUCAAAACCCAUCUCAGUCAUUAACUGCAUGAAAAAGAGACACCAAACCUUAUAUUGGCAGAACUGUAGGGAAGCAAGUACUUUCCAUUUUCAUUUGUGGGGUUGGAAAUUGGUAUUACUCUUCAGAAAAAAAAAAAUUCUUUAUCUCCUAAAAAUUAAAAAUGUGCCAAGUGACACAUUUAAAUGUAAAGGUAAAUUAGAAGUGUACGAAGAGACAAAUUCAAAGGGUUCACUGCAAUAUUGUUUAUAAUAAUGGAAAAAAUCAGGUGAAAUUUAAAUGCCUCUUAACAAGCUAUUUGUUAAAUGGACUAUACAUAUCUAAAUAAAAAUAUUCCUAAUGAGAAGCAGUAGGCAGAUUUAUAUGUACUACCAUACACAAAUGUUAAAAACACAUUGGUAAGUGAAAAUUCGUUGCAAAGAUUUAUGCACAGUAUAAUAUGAUUUCUGUCUGAAAUGUCUACAAACAAAACUAUUUAGUCCUUUUUAAAAAAAAUUAUUUAUUUAUUUGUCAGAGAGAAGAGUACAAGCAGGGGGAGUGGCAGGCAGAGCAGGCAGAGGGAGAAACAGACUCCUGGCUGAGCAAGGAGCCUGAGGUGAGAUUCUAUCCCAGGAACAUGGAAUCAUGACCUGAGUCAAAGGCAGAUGCUUAACCAACUAAGCCACCCAGGCAUCCCCAAACUGUAUAGUCCUUAUAUACAUGUGUAAGUAGGACAGCAUAACUCUGUUGGAGGGGGAGUCAAAGAGGGCAAUCACUUUAUCUAUAUUGUUUGAAUAUUGUAAAAUGAUAUUUUAUUAAUGUAACAUUUGUAUAAUUAAAAGUUAAAAUGAUGACAAAAAUAAAAAGGAGUCAGCUCAGUAAACACAAGGACACUGUGCUGUGUGGGUGUACAUUCUCAUCAAAGCUUUGUUCAUUGGAUAAGCCCAGAUUCUCUUGAUCAUUAAGUGCUUUUCAUAUUGACAUGAAAAUCAGAUAUUUUUUUCAGACAAAAGGCAGUAGAAUAUCUUUGAAAUGCAAAGCAACAUAAGAGUGCAAUACGUCAGGGUUUUAUUCAACUGCAAGGUCAAUAUAAAUCUACACUGUGAUAAGGCUUCCUGCAAAGCUGUCUCCAUCAUUAACUGAAUGGAAAGAGACAUCAAAUCUCGAACAAGGGAAGAAACAGCCCAUCUCUUCUCUAUGCUGCUCACACUCUACUUGGAGUAUUACAACCAGGUGUGUAUGCCGCAUUUGAAGCAUGUGCAAAGAAAGAAAGCAGAACUGCUAAAGGGUUUGAAAAGAUGUCCUGUGGGAAAUAGUAGGAUGAAUGGGGAAUUAUUUAAUCAGGAGAAAAGGAUACUCCAAUGACAUAUGAUGGUUGAAUUUAAACACUUUAAGACUGCUACAUAGAGAACAAAAGGAACUUACUCUGUUUUCAUGCAGUGUACAGAAAAUCAUAAUCGCUAUUUUACAAAAAUCCAACAUGUGUAUGUCUUCUCAACCUUGGGAGUUAUUACUGUUCUAUUUGACAGCUAUAGUAGAGAACAAUAAAAUUUGUGUUUCCCUUUUCUGUAGUCUUGUCUCUAAGAAGUGACUGCCAGUCAGGGGCUGCAUAUCCUAGCUCUAUAUGAGGUUAGAUGUGGCCCAAUGUCUGGGCCCUAUGACUGUGCCAUUCUGCCAGCAACUGCACCAGGAUGAAUGUUAUAAAUGAAAGGGACAGAGAUUACAGCUAAAGAUGGAAGACUUCAGUAACAGAACUAUUCUUGCAUUUCUUCAAGAGGCAGUAUGUACUCCAUCUCAGGAACUGUUCAAAAAGAGGCCAUUAGAGAAAAAAAUUUAAAAAAAUCAUGAUGAGUGUCAGAGCUAGAUGAUUUAAUGUUUUUCUACAACCUGAGACUCCAUGAUUCAGUGCACACAUGAAGCACUCAAAUGAUAUUUAUUAUACAAACACUAUGCACUCAGCAGCAAUUUGGGAGCCCUGUGGUCUCCUUAACAAGGUAUAAUGUGAGUGCUAGGAACUGAGCCAG